UACCCGCAGCACAAGUGGUGGUCAUUAUUAUUGGGCCUAAAGCGUCCGUAGCUGGCCUGUUAGAUGCCUGGGUAAAUCGAUGCGCUCAACGUAUCGAACUCCGGGUAGACCGGCAGGCUUGGGACCGGGAGAGAUGUGAGCUACUCGAGGGGUAGGGGUAAAAUCCUGUAAUCCUUCGGGGAGGACCAGUGGCGAAGGCGUCACACUAGAACGGCUCCGACAGUGAGGGACGAAGCCCUGGGGCGCAAACCGG
rnacentral:rRNA from 1 species